UACGUAGGGGGCAAGCGUUGUCCGGAUUUAUUGGGCGUAAAGAGCGUGUAGGCGGCCAGGUAGGUCCGUUGUGAAAACUCGAGGCUCAACCUCGAGCUGUCGAUGGAAACCAUCUGGCUAGAGUCCGGAAGAGGAGAGUGGAAUUCCCGGUGUAGCGGUGAAAUGCGCAGAUAUCGGGAAGAACACCCGUGGCGAAGGCGGCGACCUGGGUCGAGACUGACGCUGAGGCGCGAAAGCGUGGGGAGCAAACAGG
rnacentral:rRNA from 1 species